CCCAUCACCAUCAUCUCCACCACCAUAUUACUAUAAGUCACCACCACCACAAUUCCCAUCACCACCCCCAUCCUAUUAUUAUAAGUCUCCUACUCCACUAUCUCCAUCACCACCCCCACCUUAUUACUAUAAGUCUUCUCCUCCACCGGCUCCAUCACCACCCCCACCCUAUUACUACAAGUCUCCUCAACCACCAUCACCAUCUCCUCCACCACCCUAUUACUAUAAAUUACCACCAUCUCCAUCG
rnacentral:lncRNA from 1 species